rnacentral:tRNA from 1 species
GAAGGUUUGGCUCAAGUAGUAGAACAUCUGCCUUGUAAACACGAGGCCCUGAGUUCAAAUCUCAGUACCACCA